ACGGACCAAGGAGUCUAACAUGUGCGCGAGUCAUUGGGUGUUGUGUAAAAAGCCAAUUAGCGGAAACCUAAAGGCGCAAUGAAAGNGAAGAUUGACCCCAGCGUCGAUCGAGGGAGGAUGGCUCGGGCUCGCCCGGGCCCGCACUCCCGGGGCGUCUCACGGUCGCUACGACCAGAGGCGCACCCAGAGCGUACACGUUGGGACCCGAAAGAUGGUGAACUAUGCCUGGUCAGGACGAAGUCAGGGGAAACCCUGAUGGAGGUCCGUAGCGAUUCUGACGUGCAAAUCGAUCGUCGGAACUGGGUAUAGGGGCGAAAGACUAAUCGAACCAUCUAGUAGCUGGUUCCCUCCGAAGUUUCCCUCAGGAUACCUGGCACUCGCUCGAACGCAAACGAGUCUCAUCUGGUAAAGCGAAUGAUUAGAGGCCUUGGGGCCGAAACGACCUCAACCUAUUCUCAAACUUUAAAUGGGUGAGAUCUCUGGCUUGCUUGAACGUUGAAGCCACGAGACGAUGGAUCAGACUGCCAAGUGGGCCAAUUU
rnacentral:rRNA from 1 species